CUAGAUGGCUCUGGGUUGUGCCAGGCCCACCUCUGUGGUUCUUGCUUGGUGCCUCCUGCCAGACAUGUGGCAGCCCCACGCUGGGCCUGGCCUCCCUGCCCACAGGCCAUGGCGCUGGCCCAGGCAGCACAGUG
ensembl:snoRNA